GUCUAUAUAGUUUAAUAAAAACAUUAAUCUUGUAAAUUAAUAUUACCUUUAUAGUAAUAGAC
rnacentral:tRNA from 1 species